GUGAAAAGGAUGGCUGUAUUUUUCUUUUCAAGUCCUGAGAGACCCUGCAUACGUUCUCCAGCAUCCUCAGGAGGAAAAAAAAAAGUUCCUAUCAAGGACAUCUUGCUACAGAGGACAUUAAACAUCUAUUUUUCUCUUAAGAAGUAGUGCUGCUCUGAAGACUCCUGGAGAUCCUGACAACCUUUUCCAUCAACUGGAUCAACCAAGAAGCAUUGCUACUUCAAGGAAGUAAGGUAUCAAUAUAAAAGUGAAUUUCCUUAUUUCCUGUUUCAAAGUUCAUAAAGCGAAUUUUCUUGAU
rnacentral:lncRNA from 1 species